rnacentral:rRNA from 1 species
CCCUUAGAUGUUCUGGGCCGCACGCGCGCUACACUGAUGCAUUCAACGAGUUUCUUCCUGGUCCGAGAGGAAUGGGUAACCUUUUGAAAGUGCAUCGUGAUAGGGAUAGACUAUUGCAAUUAUUGGUCUUCAACGAGGAAUUCCUAGUAGACGUAGUUCAUCAGACUGCAUCGAUUACGUCCCUGCCCUUUGUACACACCGCCCGUCGCUCCUACCGAUUGAAUGCUCAGGUGAGCCAUUCGGACUUUCAUCAUGCUGGUUUCCAGUUUUGAUGAAAGAAAGUCUUGCGAACCUUAUCAUUUAGAGGAAGGAGAAGUCGUAACA